GUCUACAGUCAUACCACCCUGAACGCGCCCGAUCUCGUCUGAUCUCGGAAGCUAAGCAGGGUCGGGCCUGGUUAUACUUGGAUGGGAGACUGAACAGCGUGUCGAAAUUGAAC
rfam:Ailuropoda melanoleuca scaffold436_40, whole genome shotgun sequence.